rnacentral:rRNA from 1 species
UACGUAGGUGGCAAGCGUUGUCCGGAAUUAUUGGGCGUAAAGCGCGCGCAGGUGGUCCUUUAAGUCUGAUGUGAAAGCCCACGGCUCAACCGUGGAGGGUCAUUGGAAACUGGGGAACUUGAGUGCAGAAGAGAAAAGCGGAAUUCCACGUGUAGCGGUGAAAUGCGUAGAGAUGUGGAGGAACACCAGUGGCGAAGGCGGCUUUUUGGUCUGUAACUGACGCUGAGGCGCGAAAGCGUGGGGAGCAAACAGG